AAAUCCAUGAGGAAUACUGCUGGAUAUGAUGUGAUCUUAAAGGCAAUAGAAAAUUUAGUUUUGCCCCACAAGGACCAUAUUGCAGCUUAUGGAGAGGGUAACGAGAGAAGGUUGACUGGUCACCAUGAAAUGAAACGACUGACAUCAACACUUUCUGUUGGGUGUUGCUAACAGAGGUGCCUCUAUUCGUGUUGGCCAUGACCACCCUGAAAAAGAAGGAAAAGGCUUGUUCCAUUUCCAAACUUGCAAGGGUCAGAAUGGGAAUUUGAAUGAUGCUUUAAGGACAACGGCGAAUGCAGAGUGAAGAGGGAUGGCUACAAGUUGGAGUUUGACACACGCACAUAGGUGCAUUUUUAUGUUUAUUCCAAUAAGUAGUUCAAAAGAAGAAGAAAAAGAUCGUAUUACUCCUCAAAGCAUAUUUCUUCAUGGUUUAAUUUAUUUUAUAUGAAAGGUGUUAAUUCAUUUACUUUCUUUGCAAUGUUUUGAAGUCUGUAGGCAAUUUUUGUCUGUAACUGGCUUGUUAAACUGCUUUCCAAGAUACAUUAAAGAUUUUCAAGUAUAUGAUCAACACAAAGUGGGAAAGAUAACAGUUGAACUACAAGGCAGGAUUAAUGAUUGUCAAGCUCUUACGUAUAGGCAAUAUCAUAAGGCCAAGGACAUAGAGAAAUAUACAUCUAAUAAGCUUCUAACCAUCAGGUCUGUGUUGAUUCCUUGUACUUUCGUUGUAUUGAAAUUGUUUGUUAUUGAUCCAUGAAGAUUAUGUUUUCCUUUUGUUUGCAAAAUAGGAUUGCACCAAACCUGAUGUUUGAACCACCUUGUCCUUUAAGGGGUACAGUUUUUGGGUUUGAGACACAUGGUUAUGGGAGUAACCUAUGUGAUGUGAAUUAUAAAAACAUCUUUGAUGUAAACAUACCCUUUUUUAGGGUUAAUUUCAUUGAGGCUUUCUCCUGAGGUUUGGUAUAAAUACACUCGACCACCAUUGGUUUUAAAUUUCUUGGAACCAAUAAACCUUUUAGA